GAUGAACGCUGGCGGCGUGCCUAAUACAUGCAAGUCGAGCGAACAGACGAGGAGCUUGCUCCUCUGACGUUAGCGGCGGACGGGUGAGUAACACGUGGAUAACCUACCUAUAAGACUGGGAUAACUUCGGGAAACCGGAGCUAAUACCGGAUAAUAUAUUGAACCGCAUGGUUCAAUAGUGAAAGACGGUCUUGCUGUCACUUAUACAUGGAUCCGCGCCGCAUUAGCUAGUUGGUAAGGUAACGGCUUACCAAGGCAACGAUGCGUAGCCGACCUGAGAGGGUGAUCGGCCACACUGGAACUGAGACACGGUCCAGACUCCUACGGGAGGCAGCAGUAGGGAAUCUUCCGCAAAGGGCGAAAGCUUGACGGAGCAACGCCGCGUGAGUGAUGAAGGUCUUCGGAUCGUAAAACUCUGUUAUUAGGGAAGAACAAAUGUGUAAGUAACUAUGCACGUCUUGACGGUACCUAAUCAGAAAGCCACGGCUAACUACGUG
rnacentral:rRNA from 1 species